rnacentral:pre_miRNA from 12 species
CUGGGGGGGCCCAUUCUGCAGCCUGGCACCCACCCGUAGAUCCGACCUUGCGGGGCGCCGGCCACACACAAGCUCGAGUCUGUGGGUCUGUGUCGGGAUUGGCACGGCCGCCGGGCCCCC